GGAAAUGACUUUGCAGACUGUUAUGAAAACAUGUAUUUUACAUGGCAAUUCAUCCUUCGUGAUUGUCUGUGUUGUCCAGCCUGGGAAUCCUCCUCUGCUCUGGGUGGCAGUAGCUGGUUGGAUUGGGGCCAACCUCUGCAUUCCUCUCUUCAUUUGCUUGCUUGCCUGGAUAUUUCUUUCUCCCCUGCAGAGUUCUGUUGCCCAACUUGGAUACUGAGUUGUGGGGAAGAGAAUCUCCUCCCACAUCGCCAUGUGACUCCAUGUGCACAGCUGAGCAUGCAGGAUGCACCAUUUCUCUCUGGCAUGUGGAAGGCUGCUGCACAUCUGGAGAUAACUAUAAAUGGAAGAACAGUCUCCUCCUGUCCUCCCUUGUGCCAUGGGAAAAAGUUAGCACCAGCAUUGUUUUAAUAAGAGCAAGUCAGAGCUGAUGUCUAGAACUAGUGGUGGUCCACGUGAUGCGUUCAUCCCAGACCCCCCCUGUCCUGGAAGAGGCUGGUGUUUGCUGCAAGGAUCUACAAGAAUAUUUCCUUGGCUGCUAUCCUCUUCAUAUUCUUUGAGCUCCUGCACAGCUAGUGCCAUCUGUACACUCCAUAGCUAUACCCUAGGGUUAGGGUCCUCCAGUAUGUAGCUCUGCCACAUGUGGUAGAGAGGACCCUAGAUCAGAAAGUUCUCCCAGUCAGCAGAGAGAUGCUGAGGUUAACAUGUUUCUCUGAGUCAGGUUCCUGAAAGUAAGAGCAGAGCUGCAUGCAUUUCCUUUCUCUUGUUCUCUCAUACUGCUCUUUGCAAUGGAUAGUAACCAAAUGGGCUUCUUGAGGAUGUGCAGUAAGACCUGCAAACUCCUUUCCUUGUGCAGGUGCCAUGAGGAACCACCUUAGGACUGCAAAGGUGAUGUUUCAUCUUUACACUAGUGAGAAGAGGCAAGAAGCUCUGCAGGGAGGGGAAAAUAAGGCCUGUGACAGAGACGUGGUGAUUUUGAGUGUGAAGUAUGAAUAGCAUACAAAAUAUUGCUCUCUACCCACCCAUUCUGUUCUGCCAGAAGCUAAUGGCACAUUCCCCAGCACAAGGGAAGGAGGGAGAGGUAAAGCUUACUUUUCUCCUCCCACCACCCUUUUGGGCAGAUCCCAGAUCCGGAUGACACUUCUUGCUGGCAGUGGUGUGCUGCUCAGAGGCCAGGGUUUUGACUUCUCUGUCAUUACGUUCUAAUGGUAGUGAGAGAAGUUAUUUAAAGGCAUUAAUUUAAGAUGUUUAGUUUGAUUUGUUUUUCUGUUUUUUUCUUUUUUCUUUUUUUUUGUAUUUUUGGAGACUUGUUAUCUCCAUGGGUGCGUGGAAGGAAGUCAUCCAUGGACAAGCUGCUCUGGAAGAUGUAAAUGGACUCUAAAUGUACUGUUGUCUGUAAUAAAGAAAAAUGUGAUAGUUUUGUUUCCUCUUGU
rnacentral:lncRNA from 1 species